rnacentral:lncRNA from 1 species
AUCCCACCACUAGAAAUGGACAGAUAGCGAUAAUUUUGCUUUUCUUUCUUAUGUUCUCUCUCUUCCAUGCAUAUGACUCACAACAAUUCCUUCUCCUUUUUGAGCACUAAAUAUAUAUGCAGUCACGAAGCUUAUAGAUGAAGAAAGCUUUGUCCACUCAAAACCCUAAAAAUAUAUACAACAAAAAGAGCUAGAGAUCAUACAGAGAAUAUUUAUAUAUGAAAAAAGAAAAAAGAGAUUAACAACAACCUAAUAAUAAUAAUAAUAAUAAUAAUAGGCAAAAGCCUCUCUUAUCUUUCCCCUUCCCCUUCUCUCCCUUUAAUUCUUUCUCUCCUUUUUCUCUCUUUGCUUUGCUUUCUUGCCUCUGGUAUUCUCACUUAGUGUGAUUCUCCACCAUAUUUUCUUUCCUAAAGACCCAUCAAACUUUACAAAAGAAUAGAAAAGAAAAGGAGAAAAAAGAUCAAAAAAGAAAAAGAAGAAAAAAGAAUUAAAACCAUGGUUUUCUCUUCAGUUCCAAUCUAUUUAGAUCCUCCCAACUGGCAGCAGGUAAGAUUUUCUCUUCAUCGAUUUCCAUCCACAAACAUAUAGAGUUUCUUUUCUUUUAUCUCUCUCCGAAAAAGAAAGGAAAACAAACAAGAGCAUAUAUCAUAAAGAUUAUUAUUCCUAUUCCUUCUGUAAUCUUUUUCUUGAAUAUACUACAUAUAAUUUCCUCUCUAAUGUUACUAAAUUCUUGAAUUUUUCUUAUUUUUUUUGGUCUUACAGCAGCAACCAAAUCAACAACAAGGAUUUACCAAUGAAACUCCCCAUUUUCCAUCUCUUCCUCCUCCUCCUCCUCAAGUUGGGGGUAGCGGCGGCAGCAGUGGCAGUGGCUCGAUUAGACCUGGUUCGAUGGCAGAUCGAGCCAGGUUAGCAAAGAUACCACNNN